AUUGAACGCUGGCGGCAGGCCUAACACAUGCAAGUCGAACGAGUGGGGGACGGGUGGGAAAUGUCUGGGAAACUGCCUGGUGGAGAGGGAUAACUACUGGUAACGGUAGCUACUACCGCCUACAAUCAGAUGUACCCAGAUGGGAUUAGCUUGUUGGUGGGGUAACGGCUCACCAAGGCGACGAGCCCUAGCUGGUCUGAGAGGAUGACCAGCCACACUGGAACUGAGACACGGUCCAGACGCCUACGGGAGGCAGCAGGGGGGAAUAGUGCACAAUGGGGGCAAGCCUGAUGCAGCCAUGCCGCGUGUAUGAAGAAGGCCUUCGGGUUGUAAAGCACUUUCAGCGGGGAGGCGGUACCCGCAGAAGAAGCACCGGCUAACUCCGUGCCAGCAGCCGCGGUAAUUC
rnacentral:rRNA from 1 species